GCAAGAAUAAUCACUGAUCUGUUUUGAUGAGAGUAACUUUAAAAUAAUUCUAUUUACUAUUUGCCUUUUCUGAUGUAACUGUUCAUUUCCUUGUUUCCUGAUUCAUGCAAAACAAAAAGGAAAAAAGAAAAGCAUUUCUAGAAAAUGUCUUAAUCUGGUCAAAGUAAGCCUCUAUGUCUUUGUUCCACAGAAGCUUUAUUAGUUUCCUGGGCUCCAUAGCAGGAUAAACUAUUUCAUGCAUGAAGGGAUCAGCAUUCCUUCUUCUAAUCAUUGCUAUUGUACCCAUUACAAAGCUUUCUGAACAUCUCCUAUGGAUAUCACACACUAUCUUAAUCACCCCUCAAUUAAUAGUUUCAUACUCAUAUUUUAGUUCUGCUACUUCUACACACAAUAACUGCUACUUCAGAAUGAUACCAAAGCCAUAAUAGAAUAUUCUGACUUUAUAGUAAUUUCACCACCAUCGAUACAUUCUUACACUGAAAGAGUCCAAACAGUAGUUUCCACUGAGUAACAGCUUAAUACAACUGGUAAUCCUCUCCUAGUACCAUGACAGAUAUUCAUGCCCAUGUCUCUUGUGACUAGCCUGUAACUUUGAGAAGCACAAGUGCUUUGAUAAGUAAUGAGGUAGCCAUUACUAUUUACAUUAAAAAUAUGGGAAAUAAUAUAGAAUAAACUUUAAUACUAUAAAGUUCUUUAUACUCUGGGUUUUGCUGUUACACUGCAUUACAUUCUUCUGAAAGUAAUACAGGUACUCUCAAAGAGGAAAGAAAGAAGUCAACAAUUUUCACUUUAACAUAGUUGACACGUUUAACGUGUUUGAAGUCAUUUGCCAAAUCAUCUUACCUUUUUCCUCAGGUAGAAGGCAUGUGUGACUUCCUACCCACUCUUAGAAGAUGGUGAGGGUAAAUGUUAAGGUGACAUACAUCUUUCUGAUUGUCCUCAGAGAGGAAAUCAGAAGUAAUCUCACCUGAAUUAGUAUUCUGUUUAUAUUCAAAAGAGAUUCUUAGUGGUUGAAAGGCAUGGUGGACUAAAUUUUUUCACAAGACAUUUUCAGCUAAAUCAGUGAUAUAAUAUUAAAUUAUGCGGUCUACAGACCUGGUGGGAGACUAACUUUCAAAAUUAACAUAAAAUUCUGGUUUGACAAACAGCAACAUUCACUGUUUUACAUAUGUAAAAUCAGAAAUCCAGGAGGCGUCUGCUAUGCAUUCCUCCUCUUUAUAGGUGCAUAAAUCAGUAUUUAGCUCAUAGAACUUGCAAAUGCUUAGCAGUUUUCCAGGAUAUGUAAUGUACAUAAACUGACACACAAAAGGCUCACUACCUUUAACUACUUUCUAUGGACCACUUAAAUAUAGACCAAGCACAGAGAAAAACAUAGGCUGAGAUUACAGACAAUAACAUAAUGCAUCUACAACUGUAAGGCAUGUCUGUAAUAAGCAUAUUUUUAAUAAAUUAAGGAUAAACGAAGACAAUUUGAAGUGUUACGGAAAAAUGGAUAAAAAAAGCAGAAAAUAAAGAUGUGUAGCUUAUUGAGAUCUGACUAGUGUACUGCAAAGUAAUUAGGGAAAAAAAAAAGGCGAUCCCUAGUCUCUGGUAGUUGCAGUUUUGAAGAAAACUUGAAAAUGCAUAGAAAGCAUCACUAACGGGAAGAUCUAUGUAUCUCAUCAGCUGCAGAGAGGUACUUUUCUAAUAAUUGAAAGAGGACUUGUAAGGCACAAGGAGUACACUUUUUCAGGAGAUGAAGGCUCAUACAAAGAUUGGAAUGUAGGCCAAGAAACAAAGGACUUGAGAAAGAAAAGAUUGCUUACACUGCCCCCAAAAUAACUGCUUUCGAAAAAUAGGGAGAAGUGCAAAAGAAGGCAACAUAAGAGAAACAAAAAGCAUAAAAAGAAUUCUUACGCCGCCACAAUAUUUUUCAGAGAGAUACCAAACUGCAGAAUAGGAGCCCUAAAUUGGUAUGGUUUUAAACUAGAAAGGAAUUUAAUUUUAGGAUAGCACUACAGUUUUAAGUUAGCCAAUGUUAGUAAGUUGUUUGUAAGAAUACAGAUUUUGCAAGAGUUAAUACCAUGGAUGGUCACUCCAUGGCAAAAAGAAAACACUAUUCAGGCAUCUUUCAGGAGUGGAAUAAUAAUAAAAAAAACAAACUUCUAGUAAGUAUGGCUUACAUAGUUUGUUAAAAGGUAUCAUGUAAAGUCACAUAAAACAUUAUAGAGAAAGGAAAACCUAAAAUCAUCACAGGUGACUACAGAUUCAAGGAUUUAUUAUUCUGACGUUAGGAAAUACAAAUACAGAAGUUAUUUUUUGUCAUGUGGUUUGUCUUAAUCAAGAACUAAAAAUUCACUCAUAACACUGCACACAAAUGCCAUGUUUAUAUCAAUAUCAUAUGCAACUUGAAUGAAAAAGUAUACAUCAAAAUUGAGAACAGCAAUUCAUAUAAUGGUCAAAGACAACCAGUAACAAAACCACCAAAUUCCAGUUGUCAAACAUAAUUUACUAUGUAUAUUUCUUCUCUUCUUUGUUAAAACAGUAAUUAUUAAACUAAAGUGAUAUGGGUGAGUGUUUACGACUUCUUAUUAAAAACCCUGACUUAAAGCAGUGUUCAUUUAAGCUUAAGGUUAAAGAAAAUCAUGUAGAGAUCUCUGUGCGAUGGCCUACUGACUUUAUAUCCUCUUGUCAAACCUCAGCAGUUUUAUUUGUAGUGAUACAUGCCGGGGAAGGUUGGAGGUUAAAGUUGAUAGGAGGGCCAACAGGAAAGCCAACCAACUUCUUUCAAAAGAUUACAACCUUUAACAUAUUAGGAUCUGUCAGCAGUUACUGCUAACUUGGUAUGUCUACAUUUGUGUACUCUUCUGUGAACUGAUCCCCAAACUCCAGAUCAACAGAAUCAAGAAACCUGAUUCUUACUACUUUCCUUCAAUUAUUCCUCCCUAAUUUUCUUCCUUUUUAAGCUAUAAUUUCAGUUUUUGAUAUUAUAUUGAAGAUUAGCACUUAUCAUUAGUUUUCAGAAAAACAUUAACAGCUAGGUAAAAUUUCUUUCCUGGCCUUCUUCAGCCUAAUUUUCUCUCUCACCCUGAGAAUUGAAGGAAGGAUUUUCUAUAGUCUAGGAAAUCAUAUGUUAAAUGUAAUAGCAGCAAAGUCUACUGUAUUGAAGCUCUUCAGAUUUCCCUUUCUUCAACUUACUUAGACACUGCUUCCUCUGUGAUUCAUUUUUAAGUUAUACAGAUAACGAUAAAUGAAAUCACACAGAAUCACUGCAUAGCUGAGGUUAAAAGGGACCUCUGGAGAGUGUCUCGUCCUAUUCAAAGCUCAGUGAACUACAGCAGGUUGCUCAGGGCUUUGUCCAGCCAUGUUAUGAGAAUCUUCAAGGACAAAGACUUUACAGUCUCUCUGAAUAAACUGUUCCAGUGUUUGAUGGCUCUCACAAGACUAUUAAAUAGAACUUCCUGUAUAGUAUGUUAUUUGAUCUAGGAUACCACUAGGACGAGUCUGAUUCCAUGUUUUUUAUUCCCUCUCAGCAGCUAUUUAUACACAUUGAUAAGAUUCUCUUGCUCUUCUCGGCUACACAGUGUGAACUCUCUCAGACUCUCCUCCAACAACAGAUGCUCCCAUCUAUUCAUCAUAUUUGAGGCCCCUCACUGGACUCACUGCAAGUACCUCUGGACAAGAUCGAGCACACAUGACAAAUGCUUCUGACUUCUUUUUAAAUCGAACCUGGAAGGUCAUCGCUGAACAAACAGAAUGCUCUACUACUGUGCCCAUAAAUUGUGAAAGCUAACAAUAAGAAAUAAGCAGCGAAACAUUCAAGGAAAUCCACUUGCAAGAUGUAAUUGAUAUAGACACUGAAACAAAGCUCAAGUUUAAAGAGAUACUGUCUUUAAUAAUAUUAGUUAGAUUGAAGAAAUUUUCAUGUUAGCUAUGUGACCACUGGAAGCCUGGUACUUCAGAUGGUAUUAGUUUUGAUACGAGCUAACUAGACAUCAGACCUAAAUAAUGAAACCUGAACAGACAGGCUUGGACCCAGCAAAUAAGAAUGUCCGCAGAGGCUCUUGUGCAGCUGAUUGUACCUUGAUGAUAAACAACAAACCCUAGAAAAACACUGGAGGAAGAAGAAUUCUUUUUCAGCAUCAUAGCUAACAUAGCCUUGUAACUUUAAUAUGUAAGUCCUAAUCAUGACAAGUUAAAAAAAAGUUAUUUAUUUCAUUAAAAAUGUCACACAUCAGAGAUGCUGUGAAGUUAGACUUUCAACAAUUUAGAUGUAAAUCUUCGAUGUCUUUAAGUACUCAUGACAACAGCAUAUUUAUCAUUUGAAAUAAAAGGACAUGAUUACUUGAUGUUCAUAUCAAAGUCUUGUGAUGGAUGAGAGAGCACUAAACAAAUGACAAACCAGAAGGAAUACAGUUUCUUGCUAUUUUGAUUAAUGAAUGGAAAUGAAGACCUCUUUUCCUAAUUGACAUACAUACAUUAUAAAACUACACACAUAAAUAUACAAAUAAGUUUGUAUAAUGCACUAUGUAUACUCAGGAGAUUGGUAUGUUCUUAACUAGACAUACUACAAAUAGUAACUAAAAUAAAGCCAAUUUACUUUAUGCAAGAAGAAGUCACAAAAUCAAACACUAACUUUAAUCAAAUGUGUAGUUAACUGCUUAUCAAUUUAUACACUCAGAAACAAUUUUAGCUUUUUUUUGUAUUAAAACUCCCCAAGUAACAAGAGUGAAACAUUUUACCUUUUCUUCCAAUUUGUUUCUUACUUCCUUAUUUCUCGGUUUAAAUUAUGCUUAAAUGAAAUUAUGCUUGUGUCAUUUAAAGUUGCAUAAAAUUAAUGUAAGCAUCACUGAAAACAAAGGUGGAGUUUUUAUGUGAGAUGCAAUAUUAAAAGAUGAAUUUUGAGCUUCAGAUCCAAUUUUUAUUGCUAGCUUUCAUAUUUUUGAUACUCCAGUCAUGUUAUGUCAUUGCCUAGCUUUAUUUUUAUUCAAAAUGUAUCAAACCACUUAUGACCUGCUUAACAAGAACUCAAGCAUCAACAUUUACUUACUAAGUAUGAGAAUCACAGCUGCUGUUGGUAAGACAGGCAAGACUUUGUUCAAUUUGUAGAUCUGCAUGCAGUGGCAAGGUCCAGUGAGGCCCAAUGAUAUUUUCACAAAAGUACUUGUCAAAGUACUUGUCGUGCUCCAUGAGAUCAAUCUCUCCCUUUCUCCUUUUCCAUUAUAGUUUCACAAUGAGUGAGUAACUCCUCAGAAAAAUACUCGUCACUCUAGUUUUGUAAAUGAAAACUCACUUUGCUAACUGGAGAACUACUGAUAAACAUACUUGUUUUUACCUUUUCUGCUGUAAUUAUGAAACUUAAAAAUAAAAUAAACAUAAAUGAAAAAAAAACCCAAACAUCUACAAUCCAUACUAAUUGUUGUUUUUUUUUUAAAUAGAAAAAUCCUCCACAUACAACUUUCAAAAAUUUACAGGAAGUAACAUUUUAUAAUCUACAGAAAAGUAUGCAACUAAAUAUAAAUCAAACUGUGAUACCAAGAGGGAAAUGUAAUAUUAAAAAUUAAAAUAUUUUGCAUUCUUUUUCUUUUUUAAUUGUUAAAGUGAUUUUUACCUAAACCUUUGAAUGGAAAUACAUUUGUAGUCAACAAUGAUGUAAAUGUCUGUUUGAACUGUAGUGUUUAAAAAAAAUAUAAUUGGCACCAACAAUUGUUUUGCUCUGCUGCUCAGAAACCCUAGAAAGGCACAUCUGAUGAUGUAUUUAAUGCAACUUAUCCAUAUACCCUGUGUGCCUCUUAUAAUGCAAGAUUA